rnacentral:misc_RNA from 1 species
CCGAGUUUACAACUCCCAAACCCCCUGUGAACAUACCUAUAUGUUGCCUCGGCGGAUCAGCCCCGCGCCCCGUUAAAACGGGACGGCCCGCCGCAGGAUCCACAAACUCUGUUUUUAUUGUAACUUCUGAGUAACAAAACAAAUAAAUCA